UUUCAUGUGCGAAGCACGACUAGGUUAAUCCGAGUGGUUUGUGCUAAACAGACCUUUUGUUAGUCCUAGAAACACUNACGAAUAAGGGGUGGGCAAGUUCUGGUGUCAGCCGCCGCGGUAAAACCAGCACCUCAAGUGGUCANGAUGAUUAUUGGGCCUAAAGCAUCCGUAGCCGGCUCUGUAAGUUUUCGGUUAAAUCUGUAUGCUCAACAUNCNGGCUGCCGGGAAUACUGCNGAGCUAGGGAGUGGGAGAGGUAGACGGUACUCNNUAGGAAGGGGUAAAAUCCUUUGAUCUAUUGAUGACCACCUGUGGCGAAGGCGGUCUACCAGAACACGUCCGACGGUGAGGGAUGAAAGCUGGGGGAGCAAACCGGAUUAGAUACCCGGGUAGUCCCAGCUGUAAACUAUGCAAACUCAGUGAUGCAUUGGCUUGUGGCCAAUGCAGUGCUGCAGGNAAGCCGUUAAGUUUGCCGCCUGGGAAGUACGUACGCAAGUAUGAAACUUAAAGGAAUUGGCGGGGGAGCACCACAAGGGGUGAAGCCUGCGGUUCAAUUGNUUUCCAACGCCCGGAAA
rnacentral:rRNA from 1 species